rnacentral:rRNA from 1 species
GGAAAACUCACCAGGUCCAGACAUAGUAAGGAUUGACAGAUUGAUAGAUCUUUCUUGAUUCUAUGGGUGGUGGUGCAUGGCCGUUCUUAGUUGGUGGAGUGAUUUGUCUGCUUAAUUGCGUUAACGAACGAGACCUUCACGUACUAAAUAGGUGAAUGAAUCUCCGGAUUUGUAUCACACUUCUUAGACGGACUUUCAAUUUCUAACUUGAAGGAAGCAGGAGGCAAUAA